CCUACGGGAGGCAGCAGUGAGGAAUAUUGGUCAAUGGGCGGAAGCCUGAACCAGCCAAGUCGCGUGAGGGAAUAAGGCCCUACGGGUCGUAACCCUCUUUUGCCGGGGAGCAAGGGCGGGGACGUGUCCCGGCCGGGAGAGUACCCGGAGAAAAAGCAUCGGCUAACUCAGUCCCAGCAGCCGCGGGAAUACGGAGUAUGGGAGCUUUAUCCGGAUGUAUUGGGUUUAAGGGUGGCGUAGGCGGGCUUUUAGGACAGCGGUAAAAAUUCGGGGCUCAACCCGGUCCUGCCGUUGAAACUGGGUGCCGUGAGUGCGCGAGAAGAAGGCGGAAUGCGUGGUGUAGCGGUGAAAUGCAUAGAUAUCACGCAGAACCCCGAUUGCGAAGGCAGCCUUCCGGCGCCCUACUGACGCUGAGGCACGAAAGUGCGGGGAUCGAACAGGAUUAGAUACCCGAGUAGUC
rnacentral:rRNA from 1 species